UAAAGACCAUGUAAUGCAAGGUGACAAGAAUGUCUCUUUAGUACAUCACAUGGUUGAUACAAUAAAUGUAAAUUGGAUAGGAAACAACACAAA